rnacentral:rRNA from 1 species
UCGGGAAUUUUGGGCAAUGGGCGAAAGCCUGACCCAGCAACGCCGCGUGAAGGAUGAAAUCCCUCGGGAUGUAAACUUCGCAAGAACGGGAAGAAUAAGUAAGGGUUAAUAUCUCUUACGAUGACGGUACUGUUUGUAAGCUCCGGCUAACUCCGUGCCAGCAGCCGCGGUAAUACGGGGGGAGCAAGCGUUGUUCGGAUUUACUGGGCGUAAAGGGCGCGUAGGCGGCCACCGCAAGUCGACUGUGAAAUCUCCGGGCUUAACCCGGAAAGGUCAGCCGAUACUGCGGGGCUAGAGUGCAGAAGGGGCAACUGGAAUUCUCGGUGUAGCGGUGAAAUGCGUAGAUAUCGAGAGGAACACCUGCGGCGAAGGCGGGUUGCUGGGCUGACACUGACGCUGAGGCGCGAAAGCUAGGGGAGCGAACGGGAUUAGAUACCCCGGUAGUCCUAGCCUUAAACGAUGAAUGCUUGGUGUCUGGGGUUUUAUAGUCCCCGGGUGCCGCGUCUAACGCUUUAAGCAUUCCGCCUGGGG